UACGUAGGGUGCGAGCGUUGUCCGGAAUUAUUGGGCGUAAAGGGCUCGUAGGCGGCCUUCUAAGUCGAACGUGAAAUCCCCGGGCUCAACCCGGGAACUGCGUCCGAUACUGGAAGGCUUGAAUCCGGGAGAGGGAUGCGGAAUUCCAGGUGUAGCGGUGAAAUGCGUAGAUAUCUGGAGGAACACCGGUGGCGAAGGCGGCAUCCUGGACCGGUAUUGACGCUGAGGCGCGAAAGCCAGGGGAGCAAACGGG
rnacentral:rRNA from 1 species